rnacentral:rRNA from 1 species
CUACGGGGCGCUGCAGUGGGGAAUAUUGCACAAUGGGCGCAAGCCUGAUGCAGCCAUGCCGCGUGUAUGAAGAAGGCCUUCGGGUUGUAACGUACUUUCAGCGGGGAGGAAGGGAGUAAAGUUAAUACCUUUGCUCAUUGACGUUACCCGCAGAAGAAGCACCGGCUAACUCCGUGCCAGCAGGCCGCGGUAAUACGGAGGGUGCAAGCGUUAAUCGGAAUUACUGGGCGUAAAGCGCACGCAGGCGGUUUGCUAAGUCAGAUGUGAAAUCCCCGGGCUCAACCUGGGAACUGCAUCUGAUACUGGCAAGCUUGAGUCUCGUAGAGGGGGGUAGAAUUCCAGGUGUAGCGGUGAAAUGCGUAGAGAUCUGGAGGAAUACCGGUGGCGAAGGCGGCCCCCUGGACGAAGACUGACGCUCAGGUGCGAAAGCGUGGGGAGCAAACAGGAUUAGAUACCCCCGUAGUC